CCUACGGGAGGCAGCAGUCGAGAAUCAUUCACAAUGGGGGAAACCCUGAUGGUGCGACGCCGCGUGGGGGAAUGAAGGUCUUCGGAUUGUAAACCCCUGUCAUGUGGGAGCAAAUUAAAAAGAUAGUACCACACGAGGAAGAGACGGCUAACUCUGUGCCAGCAGCCGCGGUAAUACAGAGGUCUCAAGCGUUGUUCGGAAUCACUGGGCGUAAAGCGUGCGUAGGCUGUUUCGUAAGUCGUGUGUGAAAGGCGCGGGCUCAACCCGCGGACGGCACAUGAUACUGCGAGACUAGAGUAAUGGAGGGGGAACCGGAAUUCUCGGUGUAGCAGUGAAAUGCGUAGAUAUCGAGAGGAACACUCGUGGCGAAGGCGGGUUCCUGGACAGUAACUGACGCUGAGGCACGAAGGCCAGGGGAGCGAAAGGGAUUAGAUACCCGGGUAGUC
rnacentral:rRNA from 1 species